CUUUCCUCUGGGGUUGUCACGGAUUGGCCGGCUGGGCCCGAUAAGUCAAGUAGUCCAAAGAGCUCUUUCUUUGUAUAGGUUUCACAUCAGAUUAGUCAUUCCUUCUGGAUUACCUAAAAAGGAGGCCUACUUCAUGAAAUUCAGUUAAGUAAAGUCAGGUCAGUCAAAUAACUAAUCAUAAAUAGAUUUGCAAAACAGCAAGUAAUGUAUAAUUACAGAAAUAGGAAGGUAGGUUCUUCUAUGUCUCUGGAGCCUAUUUUCUUGGAUUUGAUCUUGCCGUGGAUCCCCCCUGAGCGGAAAGACAUGAUCUACCCAUUAAAUAAGAGUUUUGAUCCAGCCACAGACCAGACCAGGCUAUCGAAAGCUCAUGUGACUCACUAUAGGUUGGGGUUUCAAAUACCUAGCAUGUUCAUAAUCACUCUAGGCCCCUGACUUAUGUCUCGAGUGCUCCGCUUCGCCCCAGAAGUUAACUAACCAUAAGAGCGGUCCCUAUGUUAACCUUGGGAGUUUUGAAUGCGCGGUCACAAGAAGACAGGCAGAAUUCAGAAAAUAGUGGCAAGGUCAAUGGUACCAAGCACAGAUGUUAGUUUAGGAUAGAUAAGUGAGUUGGUCUCGAUGAGAGCCCAGGCUCGUGUGUGAUAAGCCCAACCGGGAAAGGGAAGUAGAUAAACUCAAUAGUAGAUCAGGGAAGUAGAUCAAUUCAAUAGUCGAUCGUAGUGAAAUCCAUAUGUCCGGCUUUAGGGCUGUUAUCGGUAUAGAGAGGGCCAGGCCACUUAAGAAGGAAGGAAUCCAAGCAAGCAAUAAAUAGU
rnacentral:lncRNA from 1 species